rnacentral:rRNA from 1 species
UACAGAGGGGGCAAGCGUUGUUCGGAAUUACUGGGCGUAAAGGGCGCGUAGGCGGCCCACUAAGUCGAACGUGAAAUCCCCGGGCUCAACCCGGGAACUGCGUCUGAUACUGGAUGGCUUGAGUUCGGGAGAGGGAUGCGGAAUUCCAGGUGUAGCGGUGAAAUGCGUAGAUAUCUGGAGGAACACCGGUGGCGAAGGCGGCAUCCUGGACCGACACUGACGCUGAGGAGCGAAAGCCAGGGGAGCAAACGGG